rnacentral:rRNA from 1 species
GAUCCUGGCUCAGAAUCAACGCUGGCGGCGUGCCUCAGACAUGCAAGUCGAACGAUUAAACUUGCCUUCGGGCAAGAUAUAGAGUGGCGCACGGGUGAGUAACACGUAAGUAAUCUACCUUUGAGUGGGGAAUAACCCGGGGAAACCCGAGCUAAUACCGCAUAAUGCAGCGGCAUCUAAUGAUGACAGUUGUUAAAGAUUUAUCGCUUGAAGAGGAGCUUGCGGCAGAUUAGCUAGUUGGUAAGGUAAUGGCUUACCAAGGCUACGAUCUGUAACCGGUCUAAGAGGACGGUCGGUCACACUGACACUGAAUAACGGGUCAGACUCCUACGGGAGGCAGCAGUCGGGAAUUUUGGGCAAUGGGCGAAAGCCUGACCCAGCAACGCCGCGUGAAGGAUGAAGUAUUUCGGUAUGUAAACUUCGAAAGAAUGGGAAGAAUAAAUGACGGUACCAUUUAUAAGGUCCGGCUAACUACGUGCCAGCAGCCGCGGUAAUACGUAGGGACCAAGCGUUGUUCGGAUUUACUGGGCGUAAAGGGCGCGUAGGCGGCCCUACAAGUCACUUGUGAAAUCUCUGGGCUUAACUCAGAACGGCCAAGUGAAACUGUAGAGCUAGAGUGUGGAAGGGGCAAUCGGAAUUCUUGGUGUAGCGGUGAAAUGCGUAGAUAUCAAGAGGAACACCUGAGGUGAA